CUGACUAGUAAAGUUAAAGAGCCGCGGUAUGUUGACCGUGCAAAGGUAGCAUAAUCAUUAGUUUUUUAAUUGAGAACUCGUAUGAAUGGUUCGACAAAGGAAAGACUGUCUCUGUAUUAAAUUUUGAAUUUAACUUUUAAGUGAAAAGGCUUAAAUAAUUCAGGGGGACGAUAAGACCCUAUAAAGCUUUAUAUAGAACUUAUAUUAAAUUAAAUUAAAGAUAUUUAAAAGUUAGUUAUGGGUGUUAUAUUUUGUUGGGGCGAUAAGGGUAAAAAUUUGUGUAAGUGCUAUUAAUUUUAAUCAGUGAUAAGUGGAAUAUUAUUAAAAGAUCCUUAUUAAAGAUUUAAAAAUCAAGUUACUUUGGGGAUAACCGCGUAUUUUCUUUUGAGACCCCAUAUCAAAAAAAAAGAUUGCCACCUCUAUGUUGAAUUAGGGUUUCUUUACUGUGCACCCGCAAUAAGAGAAGGUCUGUUCCACCUUUAAAAUCUUACGUGAUUUGAGUUCACACCGGCGUGACCCGGG
rnacentral:rRNA from 1 species